rnacentral:rRNA from 1 species
AUUGAACGCUGGCGGUAUGCCUUACACAUGCGAGUCGAACGGUAACGCGGGGCAACCUGGCGACGAGUGGCGAACGGGUGAGUAAAGUAUCGGAACGUGCCCAGUAGUGGGGGAUAGCCCGGCGAAAGCCGGAUUAAUACCGCAUGAGACCUGAGGGUGAAAGCGGGGGAUCGCAAGACCUCGCGCUAUUGGAGCGGCCGAUAUCAGAUUAGGUAGUUGGUGGGGUAAAAGCCUACCAAGCCGACGAUCUGUAGCUGGUCUGAGAGGACGACCAGCCACACUGGGACUGAGACACGGCCCAGACUCCUACGGGAGGCAGCAGUGGGGAAUUUUGGACAAUGGGCGCAAGCCUGAUCCAGCCAUGCCGCGUGCGGGAAGAAGGCCUUCGGGUUGUAAACCGCUUUUGUCAGGGAAGAAAUCUUCUGGGUUAAUACCUCGGGAGGAUGACGGUACCUGAAGAAUAAGCACCGGCUAACUACGUGCCAGCAGCCGCCGUAAUAC